GGGCGGGUAGCUCAGCGGUAGAGCGCUAGCCUUACACGCUGGUGGCCGCAGGUUCGAAUCCUGUCCCGCCUA
rnacentral:tRNA from 2 species